rnacentral:hammerhead_ribozyme from 1 species
UCCCACUUGACGAGUCCCAAAUAGGACGAAACGCGCGUCCUGGAU